rnacentral:rRNA from 1 species
UACGUAGGUGGCAAGCGUUGUCCGGAUUUACUGGGCGUAAAGAGCUCGUAGGCGGCCUGUUGCGUCCGCUGUGAAAGCCCGGGGCUUAACCCCGGGUCUGCAGUGGAUACGGGCAGGCUAGAGGUAGGUAGGGGAGAAUGGAAUUCCCGGUGUAGCGGUGAAAUGCGCAGAUAUCGGGAGGAACACCGGUGGCGAAGGCGGUUCUCUGGGCCUUACCUGACGCUGAGGAGCGAAAGCGUGGGGAGCGAACAGG